UGCAGAGAAAUGGGUUCUUGCUUCAAUGC
rnacentral:piRNA from 1 species